rnacentral:rRNA from 1 species
GUAAGCUGCAGGCACUCUGAUCAGCCAUGCCGCGUGCUAGUGAAGACAGGCCCUUAUGGGUUGUAAACUGUUUUUGUACGGAAGAAAACCCUUUCACGUGUGAUAGGUUGAUAGGACCGUAAGAAUAAGCAUCGGCUAACUUCGUGCCAGCACCCGCGGCAAGACGAAGGAUGCAAGCGUUAUCCGGAUUCAUUGGGUUUAAAGGGAGCGUAGGUGGACUUGUAAGUCAGUGGUGAAAUCUCUCACCUUAACUGAAAAACUGCCAUUGAUACUGCAGGUCUUGAGUACAGAUGAUGUGGGCGGAAUAUGACAUGUAGUGGUGAAAUACUUAGAUAUGUCAUAUAACACCGAUUGCGAAGGCAGCUCACAAAACUGUAACUGACACUGAGGCUCGAAAGUGCGGGGAUCAAACAGGAUUAGAUACCCUGGUAGUCCGCACCGUAAACGAUGAUUACUCGUUGUUAGCGAUAUGACACUUAGCGACCAAGCGAAAGCGAUAAGUAAUCCACCUGGGGAGUACGCCGGCAACGGUGAAACUCAAGAAUUUGACGGAUUGUGGA